rnacentral:lncRNA from 1 species
CCGAACGGACAGGGUUUUUCCUGUACUGCGGACAGAGUCUCUCCUGUACGUUCAAGGCAUAGCAAUCAACACAAUGUGCAAAGUUCCAACUAGGAACACAUUUCAAUCAAGAUUGCAUAAUGGAAGGUAUCAAACAACAUAACACAUCCUAUGUUAUUACAUGCAUUCACAUUCAUACAUUUUACAUCCCAAAUACUUAUUACAUUUAACUUCCAAAUACAAUCCGAUUUAACAUGAUUAUUACAACUUUAUUCCUUUCAUUUUCUUACAUCCCUAAGUAAAGGCCGACUUAGGGUACCGUUAUCUCUGGUCUCGGUGGUAGGGCACUAACUAUGAUGCUACGCCCUCGCCUCGCGCCGCCGCGCCGCUCACGUGCGAACCUGUAAACACCCCAAAACCACGUGGGGUGAGAACCAACUCCAUGGUUCCCAGUGGGUACGGCCACUCAAGGGAAAUGCUCGACCAACAGGUUCAAAGGAGGCAACUGCAGGUUAGUUUACUAAACAGAUAGAUAUAUAUAUCUUGAUUAUGCAACGAAUAAAACCAUGCAUUGCCUCACGAAUGCAAUAAUGUAAUGCUAUAUGCAAAUCAUGCAAUAAUGCAACUAUGCAACCAACUAGUAGUUCAUUCGAUACUACUUUCAAUUCUGCUAACCAUAGCUCAUCCAUUUGAUAUCUAAGGUUUCCUCUAUCUUAGAUUCUUGUCAAUCACCGUUUUAAUCAUAAAGUUUCAUCUACCUUUACAAGGCUAACCACCCGACUCGGUCUUGAGUCAAUCGUCUGCGGAGUACCGCACUAGAACCAGGCUCGAGGCGAUGGACGUCUCACAUACACCUCAGCCCUAAAUCCUCUCGACUAGGAUACCAAAUCCAUAACUCAUAAUGCAUACUUGUUGUACACUCAUUUGGCUAUGACCCAAUCUUACCGGUUAACCAUGUUAACCCCAAUAACUCACAACCAAAUCCCUUAAUAACGGGGGACUCGAACCUCCCUAGGGACCGUCAACUGGUGGGACUUUACCACGCCCAGUGGUGACCAACUCCGGAGCGCACCGCCCGAGGGGGAGCUACCUCCCUCAAGCCAAGACUUAUCGUGAGUAUCGAUCCAAUCCUCAACUUGAGGAUUCAUAGCCACUCGUCACAAUGCCAAUGUCAUGAUAGGUCUCUACCUAUUUAAUCAUGCCACUCUCUAUGUCAACUUGGACCAAUGUCAAUAUGGUUAAACUAUGUUUAACAAUCACUUUCUUGAUGCCAAUCAUGUCUCUAUUGUCAUUGUCACCCUUG